UGGGGAAUUUUGGACAAUGGGCGCAAGCCUGAUCCAGCAAUGCCGCGUGCAGGAUGAAGGCCUUCGGGUUGUAAACUGCUUUUGUACGGAACGAAACGGCUCUGGCUAAUACCUGGGGCUAAUGACGGUACCGUAAGAAUAAGCACCGGCUAACUACGUGCCAGCAGCCGCGGUAAUACGAAGGGGGCUAGCGUUGCUCGGAAUUACUGGGCGUAAAGGGAGCGUAGGCGGACAUUUAAGUCAGGGGUGAAAUCCCCGGGCUCAACCUGGGAACUGCCUUUGUGACUGCAUAGCUAGAGUACGGUAGAGGGGGAUGGAAUUCCGCGUGUAGCAGUGAAAUGCGUAGAUAUGCGGAGGAACACCGAUGGCGAAGGCAAUCCCCUGGGCCUGCACUGACGCUCAUGCACGAAAGCGUGGGGAGCAAACA
rnacentral:rRNA from 1 species